rnacentral:lncRNA from 1 species
CAGGACAAAGUAACAUCUUUACCAUGUUGUGUCUUCUAAUCCAUGAACAUGGUAUGUCUAUUUAUUUAGGUCUUCUUUGAUUUCUUUAAUCAGUGUUUUGUAGUUUUUAGCACACUGAUCUUAUAUAUGUUUAGUUAGAUUUUAGACCUAAUAUAUCCCCCCUUUUUCGAACUCCAGUUGGCCCUUGAACAAGGCAGGGGUUAGGAGCACCCACCUGCCUCACAGUCAGAAAUCCAUAUAGAACUUAUAGUUGGCCCUCUGGAAUAGAAGCAGUUUCUUAUUUUCAUGGUUCAGCAUUGAUUCAACCGACCUUGAAUCACAUGGUAAGGUAGUAUUUACCACUGAAAAAAAUAAAAAUAAGUGGACCUGCCCAGUUCAAACCAGUAUUGUUCAAGAGCCAACUGAAAUGCAAUGAUGAGGGGGGACACACUCAACUUGAUCCCCAUCUUAAGGGAAAGCAUUCAGUCUUUCACUGUGAAGUAUGACAUUAGUUGCCACUUUUUGUAAUUGUUUUACUUUUUGACAUCUCUCUUCUCCACCAAGAUGUUUGCUCCAUGAGAGCAGGCUCUCUCUGCUCUCAACUCUACUGCCAGUACCUGGCACAGUGCCAGGCACACAGUAGGCCUUCAAUAAGUAACUCUAUUUUGGUAACUUAGCCAGCCAUAAUCACUGUCCUGUGACAGACAACAGCGGGACUUGGCUGAACAUGCACAGACAUUGCGAGGAAUAAUGUUACAAUAAAUAUCCCAACGGAUCCAACUAGGCAGUGGCCCCAUAGCGUUGACUAUUUUAAGCUGUGGAGCAUCUGUAGAUCAGCUUUCUAGCAAGCCAUACUAUGUCAAAGCACUUAUCUAUGAGGAAUACAUGACUGCAGGAAAAUAAUUAUUUUCAAUGGAGAGCAUUCCAUUCCCCAAGGGAAUUUAAACAAAAAGCUCUCAACUUGGAAAAACAGGGGCUUCAGGGUAAAGAGUCCCACUGCUCUGAAAUCUCAGGCCCUCAGACGGGUGGGGUUGUUUCGCUAAAUUUAUUUCAGCCGCUUAUAGAAACAGAAGGAGGGGGGUGCUGCUUGCACACCAGCCCUAGCUCUGGAGUAUUAAUAUCUGCUGGGUCAGGCUUUUAUUUGGGUUUUGUUUUACCUUUGGGGGGGGGCGGUUGGGGAAGCAGGCAGGCAGCAGGACUAUCUGAGCUGUGGUUUCCUACCUCCCUUUCUCUCUGUACUCGCCCCCCACCCGCCCCCACCUCCCCUGCUACCAUAGGAUGGUAGUACUGAGUAGCCCACUGAGUACCAAGCCCUGAGUCAGGCCUUUUAUCUUGGACAGCAGGAUUCUGCCUCGUCUCAGCAGGGGUCUGAGCUCAAGAGAAACACUGGAUCUACUCAUUUGCUUUCUGAAACGAGUAUGAGUGUAGGAAGAGGCUGGGCUCCCAUCGGAACCCCCUACCCAUUCCUACACCGGUACCCGCAGUGGCUCCACUACCUGAUGAAAUCCAGGCCUUUUCGUCCCCGUCUUCCUUCUCCUCAGCCUUCCCGGGCUUCGAGCACAACUUCUUAACAUCUGAUAGCUGAGCCAUCUCUUCUGUCACACACACACACCCAUACGUAGAAAAAGGAGUUAAAUGAAACCACCCAGCUGCUUUUUACAACCUGUUCUUGCUGCACUUGGAAUGCUCUCUGGAGCUCAGGUUAAUUACCUCCCACAGACGUUGGGAGAAACAAGGCACAGGAAAGGAGGUGGCAGAAGACGAACUGAGAUGAGUGUCCACUGGCUGGCUCUCGAAGGUUCCACAAAACCCAAAAAGACCCAAAAAAGACAGCUGUCUGCAGUGAAGAAGAGGAAACACACACACACACACACACACACACACACACACACACGGAAGCUAAAAAAUCUGCUGGGCUUAAGACUUGAAUAAUUACAUGAGAAUAUGGGGAAGUACCUCACACAAUACCAGGCCCGUGAGAACCCAACAAAUGGCAGUUUGAUUCCUUGGCCAACUCCUGCUUCCUGGGUCACCAAGGAAAUAAGGGAAGAGGCAUCUAUCCUCUCCACUCCCAGGCCCCAGGAAGAGUCGUGGGAGGGAGGGUGGCCUGGGGCAGGAGCUGGGGAGGAGCCCAGCAUGAAGAUUCUCCAGCUCUAAAGUAGGGGAUCUGCUUCAGGGAGGAGCAAGGGUAGAGCACGUGCUUGCAAAGUGUAAAGUGCUUGCAAAUACACUAAGUUCCUGUUUUGUCCUAGCACCCGCCAGCUUGCUUUGCAAUUGUCCUCCAGCCCUCUCUUGCAAAACCCAGCUCAGAGAGGGCAGUUCCCACCCUGGGGAGCUAUUCCUUUGAGAAGCAGGACCCCCGUCCCUGCCAGAGCAGGGAUCAGACAGCUCCUGGAGGGCUGCCACGUAGACAGCGGGCAGAGGAGAGUAUGGAUCUUUGCCACAGGCCUGUGGCUUCUUUAAAGUUGAGUUUCUCCCGCCAACUGCACCCUCCACCCCCGAGGGGACCUUGGGCCCCCAAACCAGGCCUGCCCUUGUCUGACCAAAGGCAACUAGAUCUGCUGCAGCUGUUCAGUAAGAGAACAAGCUCUCCCAGAGACCAGGGAAGCAGCUGGAGAAAGAUUCCUGCCAGCCCGGGGGUGUAAAUAUUUAUACAACGUGGUGCGUGGGAAGGGGGAAGGCAGAGGGAGGUGGCAGGAACGAGGCGGCACUGAGACCGCAGAUUGAAGGCGUGUGUGCUUGGGGCCCAGGUGGGAAGGGCAAGAGGCUGCUGGAUCCUGAUCUCCACCUGAAUUCCUACAUCAGAGAGGCCGGGUCUGGUGUUCCUGUCGUGGCACAGCGGAAACGAAUCCGACCACGAACCAUGAAGUUGCGGGUUCGAUCCAUGGCCUCGAUCAGUGGGUUAAGGAUCACAGCUCUGGUAUUGCUGUGAGCUGAUGUGUGGGUUGAAGAUGCGGCUCAGAUAUGACGUGGCUGUGGCUCUGGUAUAGGCUGGCAGCUGCAGCUCCGAUUGGACCCCUAGCCUGGGAAUCUCCAUAUGCCGCAGGUGUGGCC